UUUAAUCAUGGUAUUGCUUUUAUAUAGGUUAAUAUUUAUAAUUUAUACGAAUUAUGAUUUAAAGUUUAAUUUUGUAGUGUAUAGUUUUAAUUAUUAAGCAAAUUUAGAAUUAGUAAUUUAUUUUAGUAUUUGCAAAUUUUGUGCCAGCAGCAGCGGUUACACAAAAGAUGCAACCUAUAUUUUUUAGUUUUAAUUAAUAGAAUAUUUUAAAAUUAUAAUUUAAAUUUUAAGGUGAAAUUUUAAUUUAAAAUUAAUUUUAUUUUUUUUAUAUGAAGUUAGGAAAUUUUUUCUUAAACUAGGAUUAGAUACCCUAUUAUUUUAAAUGUAAAUUAAUAAGCUAAGUGAUUAAUAGUUAUGUUCUUUAAAGCUAAAUGAUUUGGCGGUAUUUUAAACUUUUUAGAGGAACCUGUUCUUUAAUUGAUAUUCCACGAUUGAAUUUACUUAAAUUAGAAAUUUUUAUAUCGUCGUUAUUAAGUAUUUUAUUAGAAAUAAUAUUUAAAAAACUUUAUAAAGUAAAAAAUCAGAUCAAGGUGAAGUUUAUAUUUAAGGUGAAAUGGGUUACAUUAAAUUUUAUUUAUGGAUUAUUAAUUUAAAAAAUUGUAUGAAAUUGGAUUUAAAAGUAAUUAGUUAUACUUUUUUCUAAUGAUUUAGCGCUAAAAUAUGCACAUAUUGCCCGUCGCUUUCGUCUAAAAUGGAAUAAGUCGUAACAUAGUAGUUUUACUGGAAAGUGAAUCUAGAAAGAA
rnacentral:ncRNA from 1 species